rnacentral:rRNA from 1 species
AACGUUUCGAAAGGAACGCUAAUACCGCAUACGUCCUACGGGAGAAAGCAGGGGACCUUCGGGCCUUGCGCUAUCAGAUGAGCCUAGGUCGGAUUAGCUAGUUGGUGAGGUAAUGGCUCACCAAGGGCGACGAUCCGUAACUGGUCUGAGAGGAUGAUCAGUCACACUGGAACUGAGACACGGUCCAGACUCCUACGGGAGGCAGCAGGC